rnacentral:lncRNA from 1 species
AUCCACGCCAUUUUGAAUCUUCACCUUUAAAUCAUUUUUAAAGCUGCCAUUUUCCAAAACGUUAUUACAUUAUUCUUCUCUACAUAACGUGUUCUUUUUUGCUAUUUUCCAGAAUGAAUUUAUAAUCCUUCGACUCUAUGAUCUAUUAAAUAAAUAUACGUUUCGUUUAUUCUUUAUUAAUCUCAAUAAAGUUAUCGAUACGUUCUCAAAAGCGCGAAAAGACACGUGCCACAACUGAAACGAACAAUGACAAAGCCUCUUUCCCUAUUUUCUAGUCUCUUUCCCCCUCUUUCUGAUGCGCGCGACGCCAGCCGUUCAUGACUAUUCAGAUUUUCACGCGCAUUGUGUCUCGUUCGCUCGAGAGUCCCAAGUUUCCUCUUUUUUUUCGUUUGUAAGUUAAUUGACCGACGGUUACUCGUCGUCAUUUUUUAUACGUUGAACCGAGGAGUAAUUAGAAAGGCGUGAAAAGGAUCGAGGAAACAACUGUGAGAGGAAGGAGCAGAAGGAUAGCACUGCACAAAAAAAGUGAAAGCACACAAAGGCUAUGGAGAGAAAUGGAGACGGUUAGGGAAAAGCAGAUGAAAAAUUCAUUUUUCUUGAAUUCAUUGUGUCGCUUUGUGCUUGUAUCAAAAUACUGAUUGUUUUAUGUGUUAUCAAAGGAUUUAGAUUAUUUAAUUUAACUCAAGAUAGAAUGUUUUUGAAAAUUCGUGUCUGUUCAAGAUGUGGAGAUAUGGAUAGUGUUUGAGAAGUGAGAGAACCAAUGUAAAGCGGAGGAGGAAAUGAGAUGCGGCUUUUUUCGAAAACUUCGUACUACAUGGUCCUCAAGGUGAGAAAAGAAGAGAAACAAACGAGAAACACGGGAGUGCAGAGAGGGGGGGCAGGAGGGGAAAAUGGAACAGAGGAGUGACAGUGUGUCUUCGGUUUAAAUAUUCAGGGAAAACGGGACGGUGAAACGCGACGGUGAGUAGAUAAAUCAAAAAGAGAGCACACAGGAAGUCGUAGUAAAUAACGGGGCGACGAAGCGCGGAACCGGCGAGGAAAAGAAAAAUGCGCCGCGUGGAAUGGGGCCGUGGCCAUUGAAAGAAACAGACACACAGUGAAAAUAUCAGGCCGUUGUACACGGCGCAUAAUUAAGUUUCAAGGAAAAGUCUUAACCCUUUGCCUGGCGAGGGAUCUGCUUCGUAAUCGGCCAAUUCGAAGUCCCGUGCUCGAGCUUUUUUUAACAGGGAUAUACGUAUUAAGUAAAUGCAUACAGUAUAUACUAGAGAAUUAUCCGUACCAACUGGGGAGUAAUCUCUUUUAAAUUAAACGAAGUUAUGUUAUAUCUAUAUAUAUAUAUCUUACAAUAAUCUACGUAAUAAUAUAGCGAGAUCAUAAAAUCAGACAAGAAAAUGGUCGGAAAUCUGAAGAAAAUUCGAAACCACAAUCAGUCAUGAAUUAGUCUAUCAAGAAGAAGUCUUUGGAGAACAAUUUCUAAAAGUAUGAUUAAUAAUCAAGUAAUUGACUUGAAAAGUAAUUUAACAAAGAGGGGUUAUUAAAUGGAUUAUUAAUGGAUGUUCUCUCUCAAAAAUACAACAAUGAAAAAGAUGGAAGAAACAGAAAAAAAAGAGGGAGAGAGGGGAGGAGCGCAGAAUAAAGAAAGAAGAUUGAGUGAGCAGAAGAGAGAGUUAAAAAUUUCGAGUGUAUGUAGAACAGCUUCAAAUACACAUCACUGGAAAAUCGAAGACGCAGGGAAUGGAUUCAAAUACCCGUGAAAAGUAUCAUUCAUGUGGGCCAUCCAUCUUUUCUCGAACCUCUCAGCUUAACCUAGAGAGAUGCUUAACCUAUCAUAGUAUGCAUGCAACUGACUGUUUACCUUCGUUAAAAGGGACGAGAUAUCAUUCCACUUAAUCCAAAAAAAAAAUUUUUCACCGUAUUGAUGUUUCUUCAUGUAAAAAUAACCAUUCCGACUUUAAUACAUCCACGGCGUGAAACGUUUUUUAAUUAUCAGCAACCUGAGGGAAACGAUUGCCGCGGAAUAGGUAAAUUUGCGCACGCACUACUAUUGCCUUUUCGACUCGGUUGGUACACAAAGGCACAAAUUAAAAAGUGACUAGCGGCGCGAAAUACAGAGGAAUAUAAAGAAAUUUUUUUAUUCGCCCAUCGAGAUUUUUUUCUCAAAUAUUAAUUGAAUCUUCGAUUACUGUUUGCUUUUAAAGUUGCUCGAGUAAAAAGAAAGAAUUGAAAAAAUUAAAAAAGAAGAAGAUUAUUUUCAAUGAUAAGAAUAUACGAUCGAUCUUAAAAAUUGAAAUGACGCUUUUUAGUGAGCAUACAUUUUACAAGGAUGAUGUUAAUUAAUCAUAAUUUAAAAUCAUUUAAACGUGUCAAAUAUUAUUCUAAAAAUAAUUCUCGUUUUUAUCAGUUUCGAUUAUAAAUUAAUCAAAAAUGUGUAAAAGUUUUUAAUGGAAAUAUUGUUAAGUCUUUCUGGUAAAUAUAAAAUAACACAACUUGGUCAUAGAUCAGCUAUUGUUAAACAACGUCGAUCUAUAUUGUCCUCUGCCAAUAUCCCAUGUACUCCUAUUUACGAUAUACGUGAUACUAUAAUCUAUAGUAUCAAGAAUCACGAUGCACCGUGUCUCUCAGAGGCAAUUUACUAUUGUAAACCAUUGCAAACUAGAUCUGUGAUAUUUUAUCAUAGAAAUGAUAUGCUGAUUUAUGCGAAUCUCUUUCAAUGUUAAUAUAUUGCGAUUAAUCAACAAUUUAUACUAUUUUUGUAAAAUAGUUACUCUCUAUAUAUCAUGUAAUAAAUAAUUUUAAUAAUUAGUACAACAAAAAUCUAUUUGUAACAACUAUUUAAGGAGAUUAAUUAGAUAAAAGAAGAUUGUUUAUAAAAUUAUUAAUUUAACAUGAAAAAGAAA